rnacentral:rRNA from 1 species
GACGAACGCUGGCGGCGUGCUUAACACAUGCAAGUCGAACGGAAAGGCCCUGCUUUUGUGGGGUGCUCGAGUGGCGAACGGGUGAGUAACACGUGUGUAACCUGCCCUUGACUUUGGGAUAACUUCAGGAAACUGGGGCUAAUACCGUAUAGGAGCUCCUGCUGCAUGGUGGGGGUUGGAAAGUUUCGGCGGUUGGGGAUGGACUAGCGGCUUAUCGGCUUGUUGGUGGGGUAGUGGCUUACCAAGGCUGUGACCGGUAGCCGGCCUGAGAGGGUGACCGGGCACAUUGGGACUGAGAUACGGCCCAGACGCCUACGGGAGGCAGCAGUGGGGAGUAUUGCACAGUGGGCGGAAGCCUGAGGCAGCAGCGCCGCGGGCGGGAUGACGGCCUUCGGGGUGUAAAACGCUUUCGCCUGUGACGAAGCGGGAGUGACGGUAAUGGGUAAAGAAGCACCGGCUAACUACGUG